rnacentral:rRNA from 1 species
AACCAGCUCUUCAAGUGGUCGGGAUAAUUAUUGGGCUUAAAGUGUCCGUAGCCGGUUUAGUAAGUUCCUGGUAAAAUCGGGUAGCUUAACUAUCUAUAUGCUAGGAAUACUGCUAUACUAGAGGGCGGGAGAGGUCUGAGGUACUACAGGGGUAGGGGUGAAAUCUUAUAAUCCUUGUAGGACCACCAGUGGCGAAGGCGUCAGACUGGAACGCGCCUGACGGUGAGGGACGAAAGCCCAGGGGAGCGAACCGGAUUAGAUACCCGGGUAGUCCGUGGCCGUAAACGAUGCAUACUAGGUGAUGGCACGGCCAUGAGCCGUGUCAGUGCCGUAGGGAAACCGUUAAGUGUGCCGCCUGGGAAUUACGGUCGCAAGGCUAAAACUUAAGGAAUUGGCGGGGGAGCACCACAAGGGGUGAAGCCUGCGGUUC